AAUAUUUUUGUGAUGAUAUAACGAUUUACCUUGGGACACCUAUGAAAAUUUUUGAUUAGUGUAAAUAUUCUGAUAUUU